rnacentral:rRNA from 1 species
AAUCGCUUCGUAGGUGACCUGCGGAAGGAC